rnacentral:rRNA from 1 species
UGGGGAAUUUUCCGCAAUGGGCGCAAGCCUGACGGAGCAAUACCGCGUGAGGGAGGAAGGCUUUUGGGUUGUAAACCUCUUUUCUCAGGGAAGAAGCUCUGACGGUACCUGAGGAAUCAGCAUCGGCUAACUCCGUGCCAGCAGCCGCGGUAAUACGGAGGGUGCGAGCGUUAAUCGGAAUUACUGGGCGUAAAGCGCGCGUAGGUGGUUCUGUAAGUCGGAUGUGAAAGCCCAGGGCUUAACCUUGGAACUGCAUUCGAUACUGCAGAACUAGAGUAUGGUAGAGGGAAGUGGAAUUUCCGGUGUAGCGGUGAAAUGCGUAGAUAUCGGAAGGAACACCAGUGGCGAAGGCGACUUCCUGGGCCAAUACUGACACUGAGGUGCGAAAGCGUGGGGAGCAAACAGGAUUAGAUACCCCCGUAGUCC